UACAGAGGGUGCAAACGUUAAUCGGAAUUACUGGGCGUAAAGCGCGCGUAGGUGGUUUGUUAAGUUGGAUGUGAAAGCCCCGGGCUCAACCUGGGAACUGCAUCCAAAACUGGCAAGCUAGAGUACGGUAGAGGGUGGUGGAAUUUCCUGUGUAGCGGUGAAAUGCGUAGAUAUAGGAAGGAACACCAGUGGCGAAGGCGACCACCUGGACUGAUACUGACACUGAGGUGCGAAAGCGUGGGGAGCAAACAGG
rnacentral:rRNA from 1 species